rnacentral:rRNA from 1 species
UACAGAGGUCUCAACCGUUGUUCGGAUUCAUUGGGCGUAAAGGGCGCGUAGGCGGCCUUCUAAGUCGAACGUGAAAUCCCUGGGCUUAACCCAGGAACUGCGUCCGAUACUGGAAGGCUUGAAUCCGGGAGAGGGAUGCGGAAUUCCAGGUGUAGCGGUGAAAUGCGUAGAUAUCUGGAGGAACACCGGUGGCGAAGGCGGCACCCUGGACCGGCAUUGACGCUGAGGCGCGAAAGCCAGGGGAGCAAACGGG